UGGUCCUAGCCUUACAAUCAACUACUACUUAACUUAUACAUGCAAGUAUCCGCACCCCCGUGAAAACGCCCUUAAACUUCCUUUAGAAAUAAGGAGCUGGUAUCAGGCACAAUUACAAGCCCAAAACACCUAGCCAUGCCACAUCCCCACGGAAAUUCAGCAGUAAUUAAUAUUGAAAAUAAGCGACAGCUUGAUUCAGUCAAAGUAAAAUAGAGCCGGCAAAUCUGGUGCCAGCCGCCGCGGUUACACCACGUGGCUCAAAUUGAUUUUUUCGGCGUAAAGCGUGGUUAAAGUCUCUAAAAUUAUAGUCAAACUACAACUAAGCCGUAGCACGCUUGUAUUUAAGAAGAUCAAAAACGAAAGUUACUAUAAUUAAACCAACUUGAACCCACGACAGUUAGGACACAAACUGGGAUUAGAUACCCCACUAUGCCUCUCCGUAAACUUUAAAUUACAUCCACAUCGCCUGGGAACUACGAGCAAAGCUUAAAACCCAAAGGACUUGACGGUACCCCAUAUCCACCUAGAGGAGCCUGUCCUAUAAUCGAUAACCCCCGUUUAACCUCACCAUUUUUAGCCUAACAGCCUGUAUACCUCCGUCGUCAGCUUACCACGUGAGCGACCCCCAGUAAGCUUAAUGUUUAUACACCAACACGUCAGGUCAAGGUGCAGCAAAUAAAGUGGGAAGAGAUGGGCUACACUCUCUACCCUAGAGUAUACGAAAAACUAUUUAUGAAAUCUAGUCAGAAGGAGGAUUUAGUAGUAAAAGAGGACAAGAGAGCCCCUUUUAACAUGGCACUGGGGUGUGUACACACCGCCCGUCACCCUCUUCGAAGCCAACAAAGAGUUCAUAACACACCACAGCCCAAGAGAAGAGACAAGUCGUAACAUGGUAAGUAUACCGGAAGGUGUACUUGGAAA
rnacentral:ncRNA from 1 species